AUUGAACGCUGGCGGCAUGCCUUACACAUGCAAGUCGAACGGUAACAGGUCUUCGGAUGCUGACGAGUGGCGAACGGGUGAGUAAUACAUCGGAACGUGCCUAGUAGUGGGGGAUAACUACUCGAAAGAGUGGCUAAUACCGCAUGAGAUCUACGGAUGAAAGCAGGGGAUCGCAAGACCUUGCGCUACUAGAGCGGCCGAUGGCAGAUUAGGUAGUUGGUGGGAUAAAAGCUUACCAAGCCGACGAUCUGUAGCUGGUCUGAGAGGACGAUCAGCCACACUGGGACUGAGAAACGGCCCAGACUCCUACGGGAGGCAGCAGUGGGGAAUUUUGGACAAUGGGCGCAAGCCUGAUCCAGCAAUGCCGCGUGCAGGAUGAAGGCCUUCGGGUUGUAAACUGCUUUUGUACGGAACGAAAAGCCCCGGGUUAAUACCCUGGGGUCAUGACGGUACCGUAAGAAUAAGCACCGGCUAACCACGUGCCAGCCGCCGCUGUAA
rnacentral:rRNA from 1 species